rnacentral:rRNA from 1 species
UACGGAGGGUGCAAACGUUGCUCGGAAUUAUUGGGCGUAAAGCGCACGUAGGCGGCUCCUCAAGUCGGAUGUGAAAGCCCUGGGCUCAACUCAGGAAGUGCAUCCGAAACUGUGGAGCUUGAAUGCCGGAGGGGCCCAGAGAAUUCCCGGUGUAGAGGUGAAAUUCGUAGAUAUCGGGAGGAAUACCAGUGGCGAAGGCGCUGGGCUGGACGGUCAUUGACGCUGAGGCGCGAAAGCCAGGGGGAGCAA